GACGAACGCUGGCGGCGUGCCUAGUACAUGCAAGUCGAACGGUCUUUUCUAUGGAAGCUUGCUUCCACUGAGAAGAUAGUGGCGAACGGGUGAGUAACACGUGGGUAACCUGCCCAUAAGAGGGGGAUAACAUCCGGAAACGGGUGCUAAUACCGCAUAGUUUUCUUGGUCGCAUGAUCGAGAAAGGAAAGACGGCCUUUGUGCUGUCGCUUAUGGAUGGACCCGCGGCGUAUUAGUUAGUUGGUGAGGUAACGGCUCACCAAGACGAUGAUACGUAGCCGACCUGAGAGGGUGAUCAGCCACAUUGGGACUGAGACACGGCCCAAACUCCUACGGGAGGCAGCAGUAGGGAAUCUUCCGCAAUGGACGAAAGUCUGACGGAGCAACGCCGCGUGAGUGAAGAAGGUUUUCGGAUCGUAAAACUCUGUUGUCAGAGAAGAACAAGUCGGAGAGUAACUGCUCCGGCCUUGACGGUAUCUGACCAGAAAGCCACGGCUAACUACGUGCCAGCCGCCGCGGUAACAC
rnacentral:rRNA from 1 species